GUAGGGAAUUUUCCACAAUGGACGAAAGUCUGAUGGAGCAACGCCGCGUGAACGAUGAAGGUCUUCGGAUUGUAAAGUUCUGUUGUCAGGGACGAACACGUACCGUUCGAACAGGGCGGUACCUUGACGGUACCUGACGAGAAAGCCACGGCUAACUACGUGCCAGCAGCCGCGGUAAUACGUAGGUGGCAAGCGUUGUCCGGAUUUAUUGGGCGUAAAGCGCGCGCAGGCGGCUAUGUAAGUCUGGUGUUAAAGCCCGGGGCUCAACCCCGGUUCGCAUCGGAAACUGUGUAGCUUGAGUGCAGAAGAGGAAAGCGGUAUUCCACGUGUAGCGGUGAAAUGCGUAGAGAUGUGGAGGAACACCAGUGGCGAAGGCGGCUUUCUGGUCUGUAACUGACGCUGAGGCGCGAAAGCGUGGGGAGCAAACAGGAUUAGAAACCCUAGUAGUCC
rnacentral:rRNA from 1 species